GUUUCACACACAGCGGAGACAAAUUCAAUUCCUCUCGGUGAGGGUUUUAUUACAAAAAUAUAACAAUCUCACGGCCCGGCAAGCUCAACUUUUUAGCUUGCCCUUAGAACCGUAAGCAGCGACAUGGAGAAAAACAAUUCCGAGUUUCAAUAAGUUAAUUGUUUCCCCAAAUAAUUAUCAGAAUUUCAUAGGAACGUAGAAUAAGAUCGUGCUGAAAGACAAUCAAAUUUAUUCCGAAGUCUUUCUCAUCUUUCUCAGGCAGCAUAAAAUCCCUGAUGUCAAUUUCCUGGUCAAAAGCGAAAUUUUGAGGUCACGCUGGACUCUCCAUAUGUAUUACAACUUCCACUGGACAGAUUUUGGAUUAGUUUCAGAAAUUAUUUAGUAGUUAGUUUUGGAAUGGGGCCGAUUUAUUCAAAUUUUGGGAUAAUAUCUGAUUUUAUACAUAAUUGUAUUUCAGAGCUGAUUAAUUUUAACAACUUAAUAAUACACGAUUUUAUCGAGUUAUCACAUAACUGUGUAAUUAAUAACAUGCAUGUACAUAUGUCUUUACCUAUAAAUAUUUAUAUGCAAUAGAUUGCAUUUAUAC